GCCUUCGUGGUGUAAUGGUCAGCACAUUGAGCCGGUAUUUCAGAGGUCCGCGGUUCGAUUCCCGGCGAAGGCG
rfam:Stegodyphus mimosarum contig95790, whole genome shotgun sequence.